UGCCGUCACCUGUCCCCUCUACACUGUCACACUUGCACCACGUCAUUAAUAACAAGCCAAUCACAUUCCUUUUUUUCAAAUAAAAAUGCAAUAAAAAUAUUUUUUAUAAUCAUGAUGGAAUAUGUAUUCUUCAAAGAAUUAAUUUGAUUGGUUUGUUACGUCACGUCACUAAUAUACCGGUUGCAUUCUAAAAUUUUUCCACGUAAGGAGAGGC
rnacentral:lncRNA from 1 species